CCGAACCCACCGUCGUUGAAAAGCCGGGGGAUGACUUGUGGCUAGGAGUGAAAGGCUAAUCAAGCUCGGAGAUAGCUGGUUCUCCUCGAAAGCUAUUUAGGUAGCGCCUCGGACGAAUACCACAGGGGGUAGAGCACUGUUUCGGCUAGGGGGUCAUCCCGACUUACCAACCCCAUGCAAACUCCGAAUACCAAUGAGUGCAAUCACGGGAGACACACGGCGGGUGCUAACGUCCGUCGUGAAAAGGGAAACAACCCAGACCGCCAGCUAAGGUCCCAAAGUUGUGGUUAAGUGGUAAACGAUGUGGGAAGGCUUAGACAGCUAGGAGGUUGGCUUAGAAGCAGCCAUUCCUUGAAAGAGUGCGUAAUAGCUCACUGGUCGAGUCGUCAUGCGCCGAUAAUGUAACGGGGCUAAACACAGUACCGAAGCUUCGCCUGUCGUAUUUAUACGGCGGGGUAGGGGAGUGUUGCGUAAGCCGUAGAAGCAAUGGUGAGAACCUAUGUGGAGGUAUCGCAAGUAAGCAUGCAGGCAUGAGUAACGAAAAAAUAGGUGAGAUACCUAUUCGCCGAAAGCCCGAGGUUUCCUGGGUAAAGUUUGUCUUCCCAGGGUUAGACGGCCCCUAAGGUCAGGCCGAAAGGCGUAGCCGAUGGGAAACUGGUUAAUAUUCCAGUUCUUCUGAUAAUUUCGAUGGAGUGACGCAUUAGGAAAGCUAUAUCGGGGCGUUGGUAGUCCCCGUCCGAAUCACGAGGUGUUGAUAGUUUUAGGCAAAUCCGGAACUUGAGCUGAGUGAGAGGCGAUUGAAGCUACGGCGGAGAGAAGUAUAGGGAUUCACGGUGCCAAGAAAGAGCUUCUAAGGCUAGGUUAUCAGGAACCGUACCGCAAACCGACACAGGUGGGCGAGACUAGUAAUCUAAGGCGUACGGGAGAACUCGCGUUAAGGAACUCGGCAAAUUGCAUACGUAACUUCGGAAAAAGUAUGGCCUAACACAUAAUGGUGAGGUUGCAGAGUCCAAGUGGAAGCGACUGUUUAUCAAAAACACAUGUCUCUGCUAACUCGUAAGAGGAUGUAUAGGGACUGACACCUGCCCGGUGCCGGUAGGUUAAGAGGAGCGGUUAGCGUAAGCGAAGCUGCGAAUUGAAGCCCCGGUAAACGGCGGCAAUAACUAUAAUUGUCCUAAGGUAGCGAAAUUCCUUGUCGGGUAAGUUCCGACCUGCACGAAUGGUGUAACGACUUCCACACUGUCUCAACGCGAGACCCGGUGAAAUUGUAGUAUCGGUGAAGAUACCGAUUACUCGUGGUUAGACGGAAAGACCCCAUGAACCUUUACUGUACCCUGAUAUUGAUAACAUGCUAUUCAUGUGUAGGAUAGGUGGGAGACUAUGAUACUAUGCCGCUAGGUGUAGUGGAGUUGUUGGUGAAAUACCACCCUUGAGUCUUGUGUUAUCUAACGGAUGCCCGCAAACGGGUAUUCGGACAGUGUUUGGUUGGCAGUUUGACUGGGGCGGUCACCUCCUAAAGAGUAACGGAGGUGCGCAAAGGUCACCUUAUCCUGGACGGAAAUCAGGAGUAAAGUGUAAAGGCAGAAGGUGGCUUGACUGCGAGACAGACAUGUCGAGCAGGUACGAAAGUAGGUCUUAGUGAUCUGGCGGUAGCGCGUGGAAGCGCCGUCACUUAACGGAUAAAAGGUACUCUGGGGAUAACAGGCUGAUCCUGCCCAAGCGUUCAUAGCGACGGCAGGGUUUGGCACCUCGAUGUCGGCUCAUCUCAUCCUGGGGCUGUAGCCGGUCCCAAGGGUAUGGCUGUUCGCCAUUUAAAGUGGUACGCGAGCUGGGUUUAGAACGUCGUGAGACAGUUCGGUCCCUAUCUGCCGUGGGCGCUGGAGAACUGAGGGGGGCUGCUCCUAGUACGAGAGGACCGGAGUGGACGAACCUCUGGUGUUCCGGUUGUCACGCCAGUGGCAUUGCCGGGUAGCUAUGUUCGGAAUAGAUAACCGCUGAAAGCAUCUAAGCGGGAAGCC
rnacentral:rRNA from 1 species